AUCACCGAAUAAUUGAUUGUUGCA
rnacentral:siRNA from 1 species